AGGGGUGUAGAUCAGUUGGCAGAGUGCCUGCGUAACAUGCAUGAGACCCUGGGUUCAAUCCCCAGCAUCUCAC
rnacentral:tRNA from 1 species